rnacentral:rRNA from 1 species
CUACGGGCGGCAGCAGUGGGGAAUAUUGGGCAAUGGGCGAAAGCCUGACCCAGCAACGCCGCGUGAUUGAAGAAGGUCUUCGGAUUGUAAAAAUCUGUCCUUGGGGACGAAAAAAAUGACGGUACCCAAGGAGGAAGCCCCGGCUAACUACGUGCCAGCAGCCGCGGUAAUACGUAGGGGGCGAGCGUUGUCCGGAAUUACUGGGCGUAAAGGGUGCGCAGGCGGCGCUUUAAGUCAGAUGUGAAAUACCCAGGCUUAACCUGGGGGGUGCAUUUGAAACUGGAGUGCUUGAGUGCAGGAGAGGAAAGUGGAAUUCCUAGUGUAGCGGUGAAAUGCGUAGAUAUUAGGAGGAACACCAGUGGCGAAGGCGACUUUCUGGACUGUAACUGACGCUGAGGCACGAAAGCGUGGGGAGCAAACAGGAUUAGAUACCCGCGUAGUC